UACGGGGGGGGCAAGCGUUGUUCGGAUUUACUGGGCGUAAAGGGCGCGUAGGCGGCCUGUGCAAGUCAGUUGUGAAAUCUCCGAGCUUAACUCGGAACGGUCAACUGAUACUGCUCGGCUAGAGUGCGGAAGGGGCAACUGGAAUUCUUGGUGUAGCGGUGAAAUGCGUAGAUAUCAAGAGGAACACCUGCGGCGAAGGCGGGUUGCUGGGCCGACACUGACGCUGAGGCGCGAAAGCUAGGGGAGCGAACGGG
rnacentral:rRNA from 1 species